UACGUAGGUGGCAAGCGUUGUCCGGAUUUACUGGGCGUAAAGGGUGCGUAGGCGGACAUUUAAGUCAGAUGUGAAAUACCCGAGCUUAACUUGGGUGCUGCAUUUGAAACUGGGUGUCUAGAGUGCAGGAGAGGUAAGUGGAAUUCCUAGUGUAGCGGUGAAAUGCGUAGAGAUUAGGAAGAACACCAGUGGCGAAGGCGACUUACUGGACUGUAACUGACGCUGAGGCAUGAAAGCGUGGGGAGCGAACAGG
rnacentral:rRNA from 1 species